CCUACGGGAGGCAGCAGUGGGGAAUAUUGCACAAUGGGGGAAACCCUGAUGCAGCGACGCCGCGUGAGUGAAGAAGUAUUUCGGUACGUAAAGCUCUAUCAGCAGGGAAGAAAAUGACGGUACCUGACUAAGAAGCCCCGGAUAACUACGUGCCAGCAGCCGCUGUAAUACGUAGGGGGCAAGCGUUAUCCGGUUUUACUGGGUGGAAAGGGAUCGUAGAUGGCAGCGCAAGUCUGGAGUGAAAUCCCUGGGCUUAACCAUGGAACUGCUUUGGAAACUGGUCAGCUGGAGUGAAGUAGAGGUAAGCGGAAUUCCUAGUGUAGCGGUGAAAUGCGUAGAUAUAAGGAGGAACACCAGUGGCGAAGGCAGCUUACUGGACUGUAACUGACGUUGAGGCUCGAAAGCGUGGGGAGCAAACAGGAUUAGAUACCCGGGUAGUC
rnacentral:rRNA from 1 species